rnacentral:lncRNA from 1 species
CUUGCUAGUGAGAUGGAGUUGCACAAUCAUCAGCCUCACUCUUCCAGAGUCAUCAAAGUUCAGUACCAAGACAAAAUUCAGAAUGACCUCAAUGUAGUGAGGUCCAAUGACCACACAAUGAGGCCAGUGACCAGGAUGUAGUGGAUGACCCUGGCAUUUUCAAUGCCUGCCAAGCUCUAAGUACUCCACAAUGUUUGCUUCAGUCAUCUUCAUGACUGUUGGAACAAACUGUUCUCAUCUGCCCAUUUCACAGUGGGGAAGUCUUCGCAUGCUGGGGGUAGACAUCUCUGUUACUCACCAAUUGGUUUGAGAUCUGUUGUCCAUAAUCAACCUGGUUUAGAUGGUUUUAACAAAAUGGAGCUGCCAUUCAUUCUAUCACUUCUCAGAGCCACAGAAGAAGGGACUGCUAAUGAGCCACUGUCAGUGGGAAGAAGCACAGGAUCAAGGAUGCCAAUAGCUCCUGUUGGGGUGGUCAAUAUCAAUACCAAGGUAGAGGACCUGUCUCAGGGGACUCAGGGAAGCAGUUGUUCAGCAAGUCCUGAGGUUGGACUUCCCUGUUUUCUGCCUUUAAGAUAAAAGAUUAAAACUUAUCUCUAUUUGGCUUUACCUCUAGCUUUCUAUCUCUAAGUGAAGUAGAAGUCAGACCAGGAGAUCAUAUUUCCUUUUUUGUCAUAUUUUUGUCCCUUAUUUCUUCUUUAGUAUGGGAGUAAUCUGUAGUUUCUGUAGUUGUGAUUGUUGGUGACUGACUGUAAUAUUACUGCACUUGCCCUACAUGCUUAUAGGAUAUAAGCUACCUCAACUGGACCUUGAUGGUGAAUCAAGGACUUAUGAUUUUAAUUUAUACUUAUAUUUUAAUAUUUUUUUUAUUAUUUUGGCUU